AUUGUCAUGAUUCAAAUAAGUCAGCCGCCGCUUGAAAUAAUUCCCUUCCGUGUAAAAAGUUAAGCAUCUCUAAUCAGAUGAAGAAUGAACACCGGCGGCUAAUCUACAUUUCUUUGCGCAUACAAACUUUUUCUCUUCCUUAUAUAACCGAUCGGUCUCACUAUAUUGCAAAACCAAUACGAAUGGUUAGGUUUCAGCCUCCGAAGAGUCCUCUUUCGCGUAGUCUUAUCAAUGUUCGCCAGAUAACGAUUUGAACGCAAAAAGGGUAUUGGCGCGAGAUGGUUGAAUGCAUAAGAUUCGAGAGGGAAUGAGCUAACGAAUCUUAAAACUAUUGUCCAAGAAGUUCGGUUUUCGAAAAUACGAAUCUUACUUCGGUAAAAUUACGUACUUCCGGUUAUCUAAGACUGAAAUUCGGCAUUCUGAGGGUUUUAGGGAAAAGAUCUAAUCCAUUUCCAUCUAGACCGUGGAAGAGGCUAGAGUGCGUGUUUUUACUUUUGUUCCGCGGUGCGUGUUAGAAGGUGUUGCGUUAAUAUUAGCAGUAGAAAGUGCGGGAAAAGAUCGUGUGCGUUGGAAGGAAAUUAUAACAAAGCCGUGCGACGGCUUUUUAUUCCCUACUUUAGACGCUCUUCGGCUCGCCGCACCGUUCUUCAUCCAGCGACGCGCUCUAGACCCCACGCUCUGGCUUGGAAAUUCUGGCAAUCUCCGUCAAAAUCGCCAGAAGGGCGAAGUUCGUCAUUUUCCGCCCAUCAAAGCCACACGUCACAACCAACCGGUGUGCACGUUUUUUGUUGCUGACAGCAGUCCGGCGUACCGACACUGUCAACAGUUACCCACGAAGGACGUCCAGCCGUAAACCCGCUCCGGCGUCGGCAUACUGAAACGCCGUCAGCGCAGAAUCAUUCGUAUCGACGCCAGCAUCGUCAUCAUUCGGCGGAGCGUCGCAAUACAGGCAGGUAGCAGCGAAGAAAGCUGUAAGUACGCUAUAAUUAAAUCCAUGCGCAUGGUUAAAAGGGGGUAGCCUAGACACCCACCUAAAAGUGAGCUUUAAAUCUAGUAUUAUGGCACCUUAACGAAGCAAGCUAGAUAUCCACCCGCACACAGUUAGGUAUCAAUUAGUAUAGGCAACACCGAGAUGGAAACCUAGGUUAGGAUUACGAAUUGCUAAAGUUACUUAAUAAAUAUAAAUAUGUUUCUGUUCUUUCGAUAAAUGAUGUGUAUAUUGUUCAGGUAGAUAGCUGCUAUAGUUAAACAGAUGUUACUGGUUUGAGGAGGUAUCUCAUGUUUCGCGUCGUAAUAAUUGUGUAGUUUUUGUGGUUUACUCCGAGUUGGACUACUUGGGAAUCUUAGUCCCACCACUCGCGUUUCGGAUACGGUUUAGGGUUCUGGGUGGACGAUUUCCUCCAGUGAUGAUACGCGCGAGUUGGUGUUCUUAGGUUAUCUGGAUAGACAAACGAAUUUCUUGGGUUUUGUUGCGGUAUAGUUGAUUGUUGAACUGAGUACCUUUCGGAUCGGUUGGGUUUGCCAGAUCGUUCCCCUAAACUCUUUUAUAACGACCCGCCCUGAGGCUGGGUUUCUGGUCGGGCAACCCUAGGCACGACAAGUGGUCCUCGAAAGAGGUGGCGCUUAAACCAUUUGUUCGGAUAGGUGGAGCGAUUAGACAGACUGAUAUUGGUAGCAUCGUCGUGCACGCUACAUAGUGUCCAUGCAAAGUUUUGAAAUGUAUCAUUAUUUGGUAACUUUACAAUUUAUUAGAAUUGGGUUGAUCGAAAAAUCAAUCAAAAAAUUUAAAGAUUUGUUCAAAUUUAAUAU